rnacentral:lncRNA from 1 species
CUGAUAUGGAUAAUGCCUUUCUUGUUCUAAUCUGUGUGUUCCUACGUUUUUUUCUUCAGCAAUUUUCUCUCUUAGAUUUUUUUUUUUUCCUCGAACUAUUUCGCCAUUAACCAGUAGAACAUACAUAUGUGGAUCUUUUGGAGUAUAACAUUCUGUAAGAUCUAGCAUUUUUGUUGAUUACAACUGAAUUUUAAUUUGGCAGGCUUUUAAUCUGGGAAGAAUGUUUUUAUGAUCCUGUAUCACAACCCCAUCUUCUUUGCAUUUCCAAGAUUGAAGAUCCGGGAAUUGGUUUUGAAGGCCAUAAUGAUUGUGGGUUUACAGCUGGGGACCAAGCAGGGGAUAAAUUGCAUUUUCUUAUAAAUAAGAUGAUGAUGGAC